UGAGCCAUUCUAGGACCGUCCAAGGGUGCCGUGACACUCCUCUGUAUAUAUAAGCAAAUGGCUGGUGUUAUCUCGUAUUCUUCGAAGGGCGUGGAGUCUGAGCAUAAUUAAGAGCUUUCAUCUUGGAAGCUUUGGUUUGCUGGAAAGGAAUGGAAAUAAGCAAAGGUUGCAGGAGAUUUUGCAUUCUUCUACUCUAUUUGACUAUUGCAGCUACGUCAUUCACUCUUUGCAAUGCAAGAAGAUCAGUGCGCUUAUUUAAAGGUCCAGUGCAUACAAGAAGCUCAGUAAACAGACAUGCAAAGAAAUUAAAAGUGACAGAGCACUUUGACUUGGCUUCAUUACACUGCAAAAGGAAACGAUGGAUUCAUCGAAACCAGUCUCCGAGACAGCAGAGGCCAAUCUCUCUCUCUGAUGUUUCAUUUCUAAAUAAAUUUAUAGGGUCAUUUUACGAUCUGUCAAGGCACGAAUUUUGUAAGUAGUGCUCCUUAGGUGGGUCCCCAGGUAGAUUAGGCUUGGAUUUCUAUUUCUAUUUCUUUUUAGGUUAUCAUCCUCGUCAUGAAAUUCUUCUUUUUGUACAAGGGACCUCCCUGUAUUUCUCCCGUGUCAGUUGUAUUAACUCGAAUAAACAUAUAAACAGGACGUGCAGUAAUUCCAAUUGCAUGUUUUAUUCCUGUGAUC